rnacentral:rRNA from 1 species
AGAGUUUGAUCAUGGCUCAGGAUAAACGCUGGCGGCGCACAUAAGACAUGCAAGUCGAACGGACUUAACCGUUAGUUUACUAAUGGAGCGGUUAGUGGCGGACUGGUGAGUAACACGUAAGCAACCUGCCUAUCAGAGGGGAACAACAGUUAGAAAUGACUGCUAAUACCGCAUAUGCCUUAGCAACACAUGUUGCAAAAGGGAAGGAGCAAUCCGCUGAUAGAUGGACUUGCGUCUGAUUAGAUAGUUGGUGGGGUAACGGCUUACCAAGUCGACGAUCAGUAGCCGGACUGAGAGGUUGAACGGCCACAUUGGGACUGAGAUACGGCCCAGACUCCUACGGGAGCA